GCAAGUCUGGUGCCAGCAGCCGCGGUAAUUCCAGCUCCAAUAGCGUAUAUUAAAGUUGUUGCAGUUAAAAAGCUCGUAGUUGAACCUUGGCCCUGGCUGGCCGGUCCGCCUCACCGCGUGCACUGGUUCGGUCGGGCCUUCACCUUCUGCGGAACCGCAUCUCCUUCACUGGGGGUGUCGGGGAACCAGGACUUUUAC
rnacentral:rRNA from 1 species